CUGUAAGCCUGCGAAGGUGGCUUGUAAAGGCUGCUGGAGGUAUCAGAAGUGCGAAUGCUGACAUGAGUAGCGAUAAAGGGGGUGAAAAGCCCCCUCGCCGUAAGUCCAAGGUUUCCUGCGCAACGUUCAUCGGCGCAGGGUGAGUCGGCCCCUAAGGCGAGGCAGAGAUGCGUAGCUGAUGGGAAGCUGGUUAAUAUUCCAGCACCGUCGUACAGUGCGAUGGGGGGACGGAUCGCGGAAGGUCAUCAGGGUGUUGGACGUCCCUGUUGCUGCAUUGAAGAUGGCGCUUAGGCAAAUCCGGGCGCGAGAAUCAAGGGUGUGGCACGAGCGAGCAAGUCUCGCGAAGUGAUUGGAAGUGGUUCCAAGAAAAGCCUCUAAGCUUCAGCUGUACGAGACCGUACCGCAAACCGACACAGGUGGACGGGAUGAAUAUUCCAAGGCGCUUGAGAGAACUCAGGAGAAGGAACUCGGCAAAUUGAUACCGUAACUUCGGGAGAAGGUAUACCCUGGUAGUGUGAGGCGCCUGCGCGCUGAGCAUGAAGGGGUCGCAGAGAAUCGGUGGCUGCGACUGUUUAUUAAAAACACAGCACUCUGCAAAGACGAAAGUCGACGUAUAGGGUGUGACGCCUGCCCGGUGCCGGAAGGUUAAGUGAUGGGGUGCAAGCUCUUGAUCGAAGCCCCGGUAAACGGCGGCCGUAACUAUAACGGUCCUAAGGUAGCGAAAUUCCUUGUCGGGUAAGUUCCGACCUGCACGAAUGGCGUAACGAUGGCCACACUGUCUCCUCCUGAGACUCAGCGAAGUUGAAGUGUUUGUGAUGAUGCAAUCUACCCGCGGCUAGACGGAAAGACCCCAUGAACCUUUACUGUAGCUUUGCAUUGGACUGUGAACCGGCCUGUGUAGGAUAGGUGGGAGGCGCAGAACUCGAGUCGCCAGAUUCGAGGGAGCCAUCCUUGAAAUACCACCCUGGUUUGUUUGCGGUUCUAACCUUGGUCCGUUAUCCGGAUCGGGGACAGUGCAUGGUAGGCAGUUUGACUGGGGCGGUCUCCUCCCAAAGCGUAACGGAGGAGUUCGAAGGUACGCUAGGUACGGUCGGAAAUCGUGCUGAUAGUGCAAUGGCAUAAGCGUGCUUGACUGUGAGACUGACAAGUCGAACAGGUGCGAAAGCAGGACAUAGUGAUCCGGUGGUUCUGAAUGGAAGGGCCAUCGCUCAACGGAUAAAAGGUACUCUGGGGAUAACAGGCUGAUACCGCCCAAGAGUUCAUAUC
rnacentral:rRNA from 1 species